UGCCCAGCAAGAAAGUAAGCUGACUGAAGAGAAAGAGGAUGAGACAAACGAGCAGCAAACUUGCCCGAUGCUCUCUGACAGUGGCAGCUUCCUAUGAGCUACUGUAUUUACCACCUUCAAGUCCCGUGUAAUUUUAGACUAACUUGCUAGUGUCUCAACAGAUGGGUCCUCAGAGAGGGUCCUUGUGAAGGCACAGUGAAGACAGCUCAGCCUUGUUCUUCUAAGAACUAAGUGGUACCUAGCCAAAUGUCUGCUCAAACUGAAGAACCUGGCCAUCUUGGAAGCUCCCAGGAGUGUCUGCCUACACUGUGAUCAUCAAGGCAAACAACAUAUGGCCCAGGAAGAGGUGGAAAUUACCACCCAUCGGAUCCCACCGGGGUUCUAGACCUCAGCUUGACUGGAGACCAGGCUGUCUCUGCAUAGCCCAUU